rnacentral:tmRNA from 1 species
GGGGGCGUACCGGUUUCGACGGGGGUAGUGAGGCCGGAAUAGCGGGUCGUGGCACCUGACCACGAUAAAACGGGUAACUUUUAAAAAUUAACUGACAAUCAUCAGUACGCACUGGCUGCCUAAUUAGGCGCCCAUCCGCCCCGAAAGGUCCACGAGUCGGGCUCGGGUGUGAUUUGAGUGGAGAACGUGUGUGCGGUAAGCUUUGCCCGCGCCAUGCAUCAUGAAGCUACCAAGUCCGGAAGAGUGUCUGUUCCCGCCCGGACAAGGGAACGCAAAUAACAGACUGCACCCGGAGAAGUUCCUGUCAAGCUAUUUUCGGACGGGGGUUCAACUCCCCCCGCCUCCACCA